AGUGAACGCUGGCGGUAGGCCUAACACAUGCAAGUCGAACGGCAGCACAGUAAGAGCUUGCUCUUACGGGUGGCGAGUGGCGGACGGGUGAGGAAUACAUCGGAAUCUACUUUUUCGUGGGGGAUAACGUAGGGAAACUUACGCUAAUACCGCAUACGACCUCCGGGUGAAAGCAGGGGAUCUUCGCACCUUGCGCGAUUGAAUGCGCCGAUGUCGGAUUAGCUAGUUGGCGGGGUGCAGGCCGACCAAGGCAACGAUCCGUAGCUGGUCUGAGAGGAUCAUCAGGCAAACUGGAACUGAGACACGGUCCAGACUCCGACGGGAGGCAGCAGUGGGGAAUAUUGGACAAGGGGGGCAAGCCUGAUCCAGCCAUACCGCGUGAGUGAAGAAGGCCUUCGGGUUGGUAAGCCCUUUUGUUGGGAAAGAAAAGCAGCAGGUUAAUACCCCGCUGUUCUGACGGUACCCAAAGAAUAAGCACCGGCUAACUUCGUG
rnacentral:rRNA from 1 species